AGUAAUGUCUGGGAAACUGCCUGAUGGAGGGGGAUAACUACUGGAGACGGUAGCUAAUACCGCAUAACGUCGCAAGACCAAAGAGGGGGACCUUCGGGCCUCUUGCCAUCGGAUGUGCCCAGAUGGGAUUAGCUAGUAGGUGGGGUAAUGGCUCACCUAGGCGACGAUCCCUAGCUGGUCUGAGAGGAUGACCAGCCACACUGGAACUGAGACACGGUCCAG
rnacentral:rRNA from 1 species